AGCUUGAGUGAUGAAGUAAACAUCGUUGGACUAAUCUUGCAGAAUGAGGAGUAGCGAGGAGGAGGUUUAUACAGGAUGUUUUACUCAUCCUCACUUCUGCCAUCCCAGGUCUGAGCCCCUAAUGCCCUCUUGAUGCUUCCCUUCGAGCUGAAGCUGCUCAAUUGUGCCUUCCUCUCGUAGGAUCACAGAAACAUUAAGGUUGGAAAAGAAAGACUGGAAAAGACCUGUACGAUUAUCAGAUCCAACUCACCCCACCGUGCCCAUAGCCACGUCCCUCAGAGAACAUCUCCACGGAUCUGGGACACCCCCAGGGAGGUGACCGCAUCGCUCCCUGCGCAACCUGUGCUGCUGCCUGACUGUUUUUUCAGAGAAGUUUUCCCUAAUAUCCACCCUUCUCUUCUCUUCUUCCUGUGUCCCCUAGCAUCGCCUGGGGCCGUACAGGGUUUCUGACCUCUGCCUGCCACUGGACAAAUAAUCCCAUCCACAGCAAAUUUACCCUCAAACCAGAUUGGAAAUAAAAUGCCAGGAGUUAAUGGUGGGUUGGAAGCAGAGCGUUUUCAUGUGUUUUGCUUCUGCAAUUUCCCCCUUUGUUUUAAAGGGAAUGACUUUACCAAAAAUAGUCAAAGGAAGAAAAUAAAGUUUAAGACUUCUGGGAAUGAGCCAAGUUUUCAACGCUGAAAAUCAAUUAUUGCCUAAUAUUUUAAAGUCAAGAUCCCCGUGGUCUGGCAGCAGGCCAGCUCAUGGCCGGUCACCUGCUUUGUUCUUUGCCUUUAAAAACUCCUUUAUUUGCCGCAGAGCUCCAGGUUCCAGGAGAGCACUGGUUGCUGUGGUCGGUGCUGCUGCGAGGAAGGUGACUCCUACCAGCAGUGUGUGUGCAUUGCGGGGUUACCGAUAACAAAUAAAAUCAUUGCACGAGAUAAAAUGAUUGCUUUGGGAAGGAAUUGCAAGGUGGCAUAAUUAGACAUCGGGCAUUUUUAAGGUUACUUUACGACUUUGGAGCUGCAAAAGAUGGAAGUAAUUUAUUUCAUCUCAGUAAUGCUCCUCUCUGGUCUAGCAAUUUAUCAGAAGUGUUAAUCCAACAGGCAGGGAGCGUGCACGGUGGGAGGGGGCACAGGGAACACAGGCAGCAGAGAGAGAAGACAUUGAGAAUGAGCUUGGAAAUAUUGUACAUCUCAUUAAAAAUGUAAUCAUGCAUAAAAUGAGAUCAAUGAAAAUUUAUCUAAAAGUGCAAGGAAAAGGCGUUUUCUGGUGUGAUACCGGGUAUAAUAGACUGGAUUUUAAUUUAGUCAGUUGGCAACAAAAAUCCCUCCAGGCUAAAUAAAACAGUUUCCCUCCCAGUUAUUGUAUGGACAGCUAAUUUUCUGCACCUUUCCUUCUAAUAUUCACCCUUAUCUCUUGCUGGAUAGAGGUUUCAAUAUACUACGGAGUUUGUUUUCUUUACAUUUCCUAUUACUGCAAUUUAAUUUGCAUGAUAAAUGAUGAGAGGUAGAAAGAUGAUAAAAAGAAGCAGAACAUUUCUUUAUUAAUUUUGUUUAAAUUAGUGUAACUUUUCACUGACUGUGCUUUUUACAGAGAAAGCCUCUGUAGGAGUUAUUUUAAGACCCUAUUGUGGCUGGGAAGGAUGCCACACUCCACAUGCACCUCCUGCUUCAUGUGUCACCGUGCACAUUCUUGUUUUGGUGUUCUGCUUCCUGCUUCACACCGUGCCUAAUGGUGCCUCUGGGCCAUUUUGUGCAGCACUGGUGACUUCUGUGCAGCAUCUGUGGUAUGGGGACGGUGCUGGAUGGUUUUAUACAUAGAUGGGGAUGCGGAUGGGGGUUGGAGUGGGUUGAGGAUGGGAACAGAGCUGGAAACAGCGUGGCUGUUCAUGGGUCCAGCUGCUGCGGAUUUUCAUCUUUUAGGGAGUUGCUGCUCAGUGACAGGACAGAGGCUUCUGGGCUCACUGCUAGGAACAACGACGUGAUGUUCAAAUGUGUGCGGGUACAACUCUGCCUUGCUCUGAGUGCCCUGGAGCGCAGUGCUUCUGAGCAAUGUUUGAGAUCCAGUGGUGACCCAAAUGCGCUGAGCCAAGGUGCAGGUGCUGCUUCUUGGCUCUUUUAUCUGUGCAAACUCACCGCCUUGGUCAUGGCAGUGACUCAUGUCCCACCCUGUGCUUUGCUGGCAGCUCAGCGUUUAUUUCAACAGCGCAGAGUUGGGAUGGCUUUGCUCAUGGCUGUUAGAUUACAAUUUCUGCUUACCCCAGUGGUUCCUCUCUUUCUUGCUGCCACCAGAGCAUGUGGCUGGGAUGCCGCCAACCAACAUGGAGCCUGCUGCAGUGCCAUGACUGCCUCAUCCCCCGGCCCCAAACCCUGCACCUCCUUCCAUCCCAGGAACAAGCAUCUAGUAAUCAGAUCAACGUGCAGAAAAUGGAAUCAAGAUUCGUGCAUUAUGUCCAGGGAUGAAUUCUGCGUUAGCUUUCCCCUGCAGCUGCCUGCCAGAAGCGCAGCUCGCCCAGCCCAGGCCAUGCUGCACACAGCCAGCCAGGUGAGACGUGCCUGCGGUGGAGCAGCCGCUCCCAGCUGGGCCCAUGAUGAUGGGUCGCCCGCCUGCUAACGUUGCACAGCAGUGGCUGUUACCUGGAGCAGGGACCAGAGCAUCUAGGCAGAUCUUACGAUGGGGUCUUUUUCUCCUGUGCACUUUUCUUCUUUUUCUUCUUUUUCUUCUUUUUCUUCUUUUUCUUCUUCUAUGUACUAUGGAAUGCAUUGCUGCCAUUCCUAGAGCCCGCCUCAGUUGCUACUGCUAUCUCUUCCAAAGGCAUCAUUGUUCAUAAAGCUUCUGAUAUUAAAACUCCUCAUUGUAUAAUCAAAGUGAGUAUUGUGACCAUUAUGCAGUACGUUGCUCUGUGUUCUCCACACGAUGAUUCUAUGAUGUGAUCCAUCUGGUUGGUUGGUUGUGCUGUGAUGUCUUCCUCUCCAUCUCACACGGAACAAAACAAGCUCCAAUUUGCCCCACUCCCCCCACCCCCUCCCAGUUUUUCA